rnacentral:misc_RNA from 1 species
AACGCACAUUGCGCCCCUUGGUAUUCCAGGGGGCAUGCCUGUCCGAGCGUCAUCUCAACCCUCAAGCGCAGCUUGGUCUUGAGCCUCACCGGGCCUCCCGGUGGGCUUUAAAGUGAGUGGCGGUGCCGCCGGGGCCCCGAGCGCAGUAAGCACGCUCGCUACGGGACCCCCGCGCGCGCCGGCCGUGAAAACCCCCCCUCUCUCCAUGGUUGACCUCGGAUCAGGUAGGGAUACCCGCUGAACUUAA